AUUAUUUUGGCAGAUUAGUGCAAUGAAUUUAGGAUUCAUAAAUGUGAUUUUAUUACAAAUAAUA
rnacentral:tRNA from 1 species